GAUGAACGCUGGCGGCGUGCUUAACACAUGCAAGUCGAACGAUGAAGCCCAGCUUGCUGGGUGUAUUAGUGGCGAACGGGUGAGUAACACGUGAGUACCCUGCCCUUAACUCUGCGAUACGCCUGGGAAACUGGGUCUAAUACCGGAUAGUAGCGUCCCCCGCAUGGUGGGUGUUGGAAAGAUUUAUCGGUUUUGGAUGGACUCGCGGCCUAUCAGCUUGUUGGUGAGGUAAUGGCUCACCAAGGCGACGACGGGUAGCCGGCCUGAGAGGGUGACCGGCCACACUGGGACUGAGACACGGCCCAGACUCCUACGGGAGGCAGCAGUGGGGAAUAUUGCACAAUGGGCGCAAGCCUGAUGCAGCGACGCCGCGUGAGGGAUGACGGCCUUCGGGUUGUAAACCUCUUUCAGUAGGGAAGAAGCGAAAGUGACGGUACCUGCAGAAGAAGCACCGGCUAACUACGUG
rnacentral:rRNA from 1 species